CAGCCGUGGGCAGGGGGCUCGGGGCCCCCCGGUGCGGACCCGUCCGUGCCGUCCCCCUCCCGCCCUGCCAAAAUUCCGCUCCCGGGGCUCGCUGGAUGCGAGGGGGCGGCGCAGUGCCUGCUUGCAUGGGAUCACAUCCAGUGCACACGGGAUGAGCUCACCUGCUACAGAUCUGCCAACGAACAGCGCUCACCGUCUGAAGAGAACGUGGACCAAGGCCCGGAACUGAACGUUCUGAUAAAAAUGGACUAAAAGCACAACCAAGGCAGCCACAUGCCCUAAAAAGGCAGACCCGAGGAGGGGCUAUGCUAAACAGUUCUUGGAACAGGUAAACUGCAUUUGGGAAAAGUUUACAUUGCAUAAUUGUUUAUGAGUAUGGAACAGGCUGGUGCAUUGGAAAUGGUAUCUCAAGGAUGUUUCCAAAACAGCAGGGGUGCUCCUGGCUGAGCGCCAAGACACACCCGGGGCUAUCACAUCUUUGCUCCAUGGUCUUUGUCUCCUACUUUUAUUAAACUUUGAAAUUUUCACAGGA